GCAAUUACUUUGUUUUGCCUUCCAAACUUUUAGUAAGCUUAUGUAGUUUGAAAGAAAACUACGUCAACACAUCUGGGCGCUAGGUAUAAGUCUCAGCCAAAAUUUCAGUUUAUCACAACAUUUACAACCAGUUCGGCAUCGUUUCCAAAAUUCGUAAAAUUAUUUGAGUCGGUUGGAAGAUUCUUUACAAAUGGCGCUUCGUCUUACGACUGCUUUCCUCCGAAAACGCGCUUCAUUACUUUUUGUGCCGAAGUUGCAACAAGCACAGCCAACCCGCACCUUAUUACUUAGGAGAAAUCUAGUGCCGUUCUUAGAUGAUGAUCCUUGUGUGUUCUCGAAGAAAGCCAUCUUGCACCAUUGGGGCGCAUUACCGAUAAUAGCCAUUACGCUCGUUGCAUUCACGGCAGAAGUUAUAAGUUGGUUAAAGAUCGCCUUGUCCAGACAUGAUGUUUCAUACACUGCAAACUCGGCAGCCUGUGAUAAUCUCGAGACCCGCCAUAAGUUUUUCUACCCUCCGAAAUACCUCAAGUUUUUGAGAUUUAACCAACAGUGCGAGGUUCCACAAGAUUUGAUUCGAGCCAAACAGGGCGACACAGCAGGACCAUCAUUUGAAAAAAAGAAGUAGCCGUGCUUAGGUUGGCCUCUACUGUGUAAUAACUUCGAAAGUUGGAGGAGGAUCAAAGCAAUGGUAGGAGGAGGAGUAAUCUGUAAGUAGCCAGAACAUGGUUCUGGAAGCAGGACAAGGAUAUUUAAAAGCGUUCAGAUGCAUUGGAGGUCGGAUCUAGAAGUCGAACCAUUCAACACAACCCGCAGUUGCUUGAUAUGGAUUAGCGAGGGUUUGGAUCGACUGAAAUUGGCCUGAGGCCUCCAAUCUAUAUCUAUAGCAACUGCAACGUUUUGAACAACAAUGCAACAUUACUGCUGACCGGAAGGAAAAGGAAACCCAGUUCCCACCUCACGUACCUCACGUACCUCACUACAGAAUGGGAAAAAGGAAAAACAUGGACGAAAAUUUGAGCGCAGUGGAAAUCUAUAUUUAUUUUUAUUGAAUAUAACCAAUAAAAUUUUAUCUGUUUACAGCUAAA